rnacentral:lncRNA from 1 species
CGGGCCCGUGGCGGUAAAUCUCAACAAAAACAUCCUGGGUGAGAGCGGCCAUGGGGUCCAAGUCAUCUCGAGCAGGAGCGGCGGUCCGAGUCUUCAACGACGUUAACAAAUCCCAACGUGUGGGGACGUCAGCGUUCGACUCCGACGACCCAAGGGCGCUGACGGGGACGGAGAAGAAGCGGUCCCGCCAGUGGUGAGACCGGUCGACCAGCUGAUCGAAGAGGGCGCCGCUAGAUCUCUGAGCGACUAGCAGACGGCGGGGGUCGGUGGUCAUAGCAGUCAUCGUGAACCAUGUCAGGAAGACUUGCAGGCAGACGUGGCAGCCGGCCCGACGCAAGAGAAGGUCGAAAAUCAUCA